UCAUGAUUAGGAGGGUGUUCUUGAAGUCCACUGUUCUUCCCUUGCUGUCGGUCAACCUCCCGUCUUCCAAAAUCUGGAGCAUCAUGUUGAAGACAUCAGGGUGUGCCUUCUCAAUCUCAUCAAAGAGCACAACUGUGUAUGGGCGCCUUCUAACUGCCUCAGUCAGUUGGCCACCCUCAGUGUAUCCAACAUAUCCUGGAGGUGAACCGAUCAGCUUGGAAACUGUGUGCCUCUCCAUGAAUUCACUCAUAUCAAGCCGGAUCAUAGCCUCCUGAGAGCCAAAGUAAUAGGCAGCAAGGGCCUUAGCGAGCUCUGACUUCCCAACACCGGUGGGACCUGCGAAGAUAAAGCUUGCAAUCGGCCUGUUGGGGUUCUUGAGGCCCACA
rnacentral:lncRNA from 1 species